AUGGCAGGAGACGCAGGCACUUCAGGAAUCGGAUGCCCUGAAGAGGGUGAGCAGGGAGAGGAAGAGGUUGAUGACGUCGAGGUAGAGCGCGACGGCGGCCCAGACGUACUCGUCGUAGGAGUAGCGCUUGAUGAGGUUGUCGGUGUCGUAGAUGAUGUAGCCGCAGAAGACGAGCGCCGCCAGCCCGCCGUAGACCAUCAGCGAGAUGCGGCCCAGCGGGAAGAAGGCCUGGAUGAGCGCGAACACCAUGAGGAUCAUCACCGCCGCGAACAGGAACGGGCCCAGGAAGCUGAAGUCGUGCCCGCGACUCGCCGCCCAGAACGUGUACGCCGUCAGGCUCACCACCACCACCGCCGUCAGGAUCGCCGACUCCAGGAUCACCUCCCCCUUGGUGAAGGCGCAGGUCAGCCCCACCGCGAAGCUGAUGGCCACCGUGAAGAGCGCCAGCAGCAGCAGAUUCACCGGGUGCCGCUGGUAGUAGUAGUACAGAGGACACAGCACUGCAGUUCCAAGCACACGGACACGGUGAGCGUCAGUCACAUCGAAGAAAACAGAGCAGAGUAG
rnacentral:rRNA from 1 species